ACAGAAUACUUAACUUGUUCAGUAUUAUGAUAGUAGUAUCAGACUACUUUUUAUACACACAUAUUACAUACGUAAUUUAUGAAGAUAUUACACAUAUAUCUAUGUUUGUGUGUUUGUCCACAGAGUAAUGAGGUAGGGGGAAGCUACCAUAUGGAAAAGGAGGGCCUUAGAAGAAGUUUGAAUCACCUAUCAGAAAGCGGUGUAACGUUGGACUGCAUUGUCACUGACCGUCACCCCCAAAUACAAAAGUUCCUGAAGGAUCGUAAAAUCAAACACUAUUAUGACGUCUGGCAUAUGGCUAAAGGGUUGUCAAAGAAGGUGGAGAAAAUUUCUAGAGAGAAAGACUGCAGUUUGGUGAAGAAGUGGCAUAAGAGUAUCAUCAAUCACCUGUACUGGUCUGCCACUAGCUCUGCUUCAGGACCAGAGAAGUUAGCCAAAUGGACCUCUAUCAUCAACCACAUUCAAGACAUUCACACACAUUCUGACCCAGCCUUCCCUAGGUGUAAACAUGCACAAAGAUUGUCUAAGGACCGUAGAAAGUGGUUUCAACCAGGUUCAAGAGCACUAAAUAGGCUACAGAAUGUGCUGAUUAACAAAAGAGUCCUUUCAGAUGUGGAAAAGCUGAGCCCACAUUACCAGACAUCAACUGUAGAGUC